rnacentral:rRNA from 1 species
UACAGAGGUCUCAAGCGUUGUUCGGAUUCAUUGGGCGUAAAGGGUGCGUAGGCGGCGCGGUAAGUCGGGUGUGAAAUCUUGGAGCUUAACUCCGAAACUGCAUUCGAUACUGCCGUGCUUGAGGACUGGAGAGGAGACUGGAAUUUACGGUGUAGCGGUGAAAUGCGUAGAUAAUCGUAAGGAAGACCAGUGGCGAAGGCGGGUCGUCUGGACGGUUUCUGACGCUAAGACGCGAAAGCGUGGGGAGCAAACAGGAUUAAGAAACCCUUGGUAGU